rnacentral:lncRNA from 1 species
CUUGGGGGCUGGGUUUAGGGCUGGGCGAGCUGCAGUGAGCAGAGAGGAUGAGGGGAAAGGGCCCCCCGGGAGAGGCCACUAGAUCCUUCUCCGCAGCCCAGCCGCAGCCUUGUCUUCCUGUCUCCUGAUGCUCGCCCCAUCCUGCUCUCCAGCUGCUAGCCGAUUGGAAGAGACGGGGGCAAGGUGGAGCCAUCAUCAGUCAACCAGGCUGGGGGCUGGGGCUGUGAUUGUUCCCAUCCUUGAAGAUCUCUUUAGGAACAGGAGAGUCGCUGAGCUGAUGAAGUUGGCCUGCCUGAGGAAAGAAUCUCCUGUUUUGAUUCACUCUUUAUCCAUCUAA